rnacentral:rRNA from 1 species
UCGUCGUCGCUGCCCGAAAUGCGGUGCACUCUUUCGUGGUACGCGUCAGCGUCGGUUCGCAGCGGGCGAUAAGGCCUUGUGGAAGGUAGCUAGGGGCUUGCCCCUAGUGUUAUAGACGCAGGAGCUGGGCUCGCUACGGACCGAGGAGAGAGAGUAUCGUUGCAGCGCAUGCCGCAAGGCUAGCCACCUGCCGUCUGUCUCGCUUCACAGACUGAGGACUGCACGCAGUGCUCGGACUGGCGGAGUGGUCCGGCGGUGGAGUGGUAUAAAUGCGCUCAGGACGCUGGCGUCCAAAUGGCCGUGC